rnacentral:lncRNA from 1 species
GUAUGCAGCGAAGGAAGUAACCAAUCAAUUUUUUAAUUUCCUUCUGUAAACGGGAGUGAAUCGGGGUGGAUUUGAAAUCUCAUUAGUCAAAAGUUGCCUUGUUGAUCCAAAAUGAACCUCCCAAAACAUCACCAUCGUCAUGCCACACAUCAAGUCAGAAAUCUUCAUUUGUUUUCUCAUGGCUUCCAGAAGAGUCUGCAUUAAUACAUUAUCAUGUUUUUUGGGGGUGUAGCUAAAUUCUGUCUUCUUAAAAAAUAGAUAAAUAAAAAAUAACCUUCAACUCUGAAAUUACAACAGGCUGAGUGGAGCGGGAAUGAGCCUGUGUGUUGCUCAAGCUGUGAAGAGCCAAGUUACAGAAGAGGUAGAGGAAAUAUGACAGGGCUCAAACAACGGCUGCUGAAUUAUAAUAUUUCUGAAGGCCCUAAAGUAUGCUCUUUCUUCCCUCACCCCCUUGCCCCUGAGCCAGUCAGGGAUGAGACUGGCAGAGCACUACUACUACAUCCCUUCUGCUUUCUGUCAUAAACCUGGAACACUCUAGCAUGAUUAAAGAGAUUCAAACA